rnacentral:rRNA from 1 species
UGGGGAAUCUUGCACAAUGGGGGCAACCCUGAUGCAGCGACGCCGCGUGAGCGAUGAAGCCCUUCGGGGCGUAAAGCUCUUUCGACCGGAACGAUAAUGACGGUACCGGGAGAAGAAGCUGCGGCUAACUACGUGCCAGCAGCCGCGGUAAUACGUAGGCAGCAAGCGUUGUUCGGAGUUACUGGGCGUAAAGAGUGCGUAGGCGGUUUUCUAAGUUCGGUGUGAAAUCUCCCGGCUUAACUGGGAGGGUGCGCCGAAGACUGGGAAGCUGGAGUGGGGGAAAGGCAGGCGGAAUUCCUGGUGUAGCGGUGAAAUGCGUAGAUAUCAGGAGGAACACCCGCGGUGUAGACGGCUUGCUAGACCAUAACUGACGCUGAGGCACGAAAGCGUGGGUAGCAAACA